rnacentral:lncRNA from 1 species
CCUUUGGCAUUCUACUCUAAGGUCACUUUACCUUAGUCAACAAAGCCACCCGACUCGGUCUCGAGUCAAUCAAUCGAGGAUAGUCCGCGCACUGUCUAGCUCGAGGUGAAGGAACUCUCACAUGCACCUCAGCUGGCAACAGCUCACCGUACUCCUGUCCUAGCCGUCUGGCGGCGAACGAAUCGCACCUCACCCAACAACGGCCUAGGUUCAAUGACUUAGUCACCCGGCGGCGAACUCGUCGCACACACGCCACGACAGUGGUUCAGUCAACAGGCGGUAGGAUCCACAAACUGGCUAACCAUCCGGCGGCGAAAUCGUCGCACACACGCCACGACAAUGAUUUUCUAGCCCCUGGGCGGCGAAAUCGUUGCACGCGCCCGACACCACUUUGGGUGUAUCAGCAAGCAUUGGGAUUCCGGAAUCCACAUCACAUUAACCAAGGGUUGGUCUUAACCCUAUGGAACUGACCUCUCUAGGUCUAAGCUUUUAUCUCCUAGGUCCAAUUGACUCUAGGUUCAUUGUCCUUUACACAACCUAAGUUAUUACUUUAGGUUUAUUGCUUUCACAUUCUUAACCUAGGUUUAUUACACUAGGAUCAUCAUUCUUUUCCAACCUAGGUUUACUUGACUCUAGGUUAAGCAGCUUUCAUUUCACCACCUAUGUUCUUUACAUUAGGUUUAACAUCACUCUUAAUUAACCUAUGUUCUUUACAUUAGGUUCAACAUCACAUUUGUUUAACCUAUGUCCUUGACACUAGGUUUAAUGCCACUCGAUCUAUAGGUUUAUUCAUGUCCACCUAUAUAUAUUCCUUACUUAGCAUUCUCAACAU